rnacentral:rRNA from 1 species
GUGCCAGCCGCCGCGGUAAGACGAAGGUGGCUAGCGUUGCUCGGAUUUACUGGGCAUAAAGCGCGCGUAGGUGGUCCUGUAAGCGAGAGAUGAAAGCCCAUGGCUCACCCAUGGAACUGUCCCUCGGACUGCAGGGCUGGAGGGCGGGAGGGGAGAAUGGAAUUCCCGGUGUAGCGGUGAAAUGCGUAGAUAUCGGGAGGAACGCCGGUGGCGAAAGCGAUUCUCUGGCCCGUUCCUGACACUGAUGCGCGAAAGCUAGGGGAGCAAACAGGAUUAGAUACCCGCGUAGUCC